CUCUAUUGCCUGCUGUCAUGUAAGACAUAUGUUGCUUCCCCUUCACCUUCUGCCAUGACUGUGAGGCCUCCCCAGCAACGUGGAACUGUUUUUGCUAUACUACGCAAGUACCUUAAAGCCACAUACUCAUAGAUUCAAGUAUACGACAGUCACAAAAUACAAGUCUUACUAGGACCUUCUAUAGCAUAAGACAAAGAAGAAUACAUGUUUAAAAGAAAUGCAACACAUAGAUGCUGCCUGCAAAUCAGAAAGAAGAUAAAACCAAUUCACAAAGGAGCACCAGUGCCUUAGAAGGCUGUUUGCUAGAAAGCUCUUCAAUAACUAGACUUUUCUAUAUUGAACCUGUAGACAAUGAGAUAAGACAGCAGAAUUUUGAUGUGCCAAGGAGAUACAACAACCUCACUGUAGGCUGUUAUGAUAAUGUGUACUUACCUCUUCUUAAUUCUUUCCCACUAUAGAGUGAUAGCAGAAAAGAGAGGAAGAUACCUGGAAGAUAUACCUUAGAAAUACUUGGGAAGUAUAUGGAAAUGGGUACUUUUUCUGCUCUUUGAACAAUCAAUUCAUUCAAAACUCCAGUGUUAUCCUGAGCUACUAGGAGAAGUGUUAAAAAUAAACCUGAUUUGAUCUUAAAAAACAAGCAAAUAAAAACAGACAAUGGGACACAUUUUCUUAAAAAUAAUUGAGACUUACUCUAUGGAAAAUGUAGAUUUUAAUACAUUAAAUUUGUUAGCAGGUAUAGUUGAUUAGAUAGAUCAACAGAUAGAUAAAGAUAAAUAUUUUUUUAUGUACCAUAAAUGCAUGCAAACACAUACACAUGCAUAUUUGGGAUAUCACAGCAAUAGUAUGCAUCUUAGUCUAGUUUGGGCUGCUAUAACAAAAUAUGUGGGACAGGGUAAUUUAUGAAGAACAGAAAUUUAUUUCUCAUAGUUCUGGAGGCUGGGCAGUUUAGAAUCAAGGCUCCAGCAUUUGUUGUCUGGUGAGGGCUGCUGUCUGCUUCUAAGAUGGUGCUUUGUUGCUGUGUCCUAACAUGGCCAAAGGCAGGAAAGCAAAAAGGGCCUAGCUAGUUCCCUCCAGCCCUUAUAUAAGGCCUCUCAUGCCAUUAAUGAGGGUUCUGCUCUCAUGACAUAAUCACCUCUUAAAAGCCCUGUCUCUUAAUACUGUUACCUUGAGGAUUAAGUUUUAACAUGAAUUUUGGGAGCACAUUCAACCAUAGCAGUGUGAGAGGGAAGGUUAAAUGUCUUAGUUAAUGUUGA